rnacentral:rRNA from 1 species
AAAUUGAAGAGUUUGAUCAUGGCUCAGAUUGAACGCUGGCGGCAGGCCUAACACAUGCAAGUCGAACGGUAACAGAAAGCAGCUUGCUGCUUUGCUGACGAGUGGCGGACGGGUGAGUAAUGUCUGGGAAACUGCCUGAUGGAGGGGGAUAACUACUGGAAACGGUAGCUAAUACCGCAUAAUGUCGCAAGACCAAAGAGGGGGACCUUCGGGCCUCUUGCCAUCGGAUGUGCCCAGAUGGGAUUAGCUAGUAGGUGGGGUAACGGCUCACCUAGGCGACGAUCCCUAGCUGGUCUGAGAGGAUGACCAGCCACACUGGAACUGAGACACGGUCCAGACUCCUACGGGAGGCAGCAGUGGGGAAUAUUGCACAAUGGGCGCAAGCCUGAUGCAGCCAUGCCGCGUGUAUGAAGAAGGCCUUCGGGUUGUAAAAGUACUUUCAGCGGGGAGGAAGGGAGUAAAGUUAAUACCUUUGCUCAUUGACGUUACCCGCAGAAGAAGCACCGGCUAACUCCGUGCCAGCAGCCGCGGUAAUACGGAGGGUGCAAGCGUUAAUCGGAAUUACUGGGCGUAAAGCGCACGCAGGCGGUUUGUUAAGUCAGAUGUGAAAUCCCGGGCUCAACCUGGGAACUGCAUCUGAUACUGGCAAGCUUGAGUCUCGUAGAGGGGGUAGAAUUCCAGGUGUAGCGGUGAAAUGCGUAGAGAUCUGGAGGAAUACCGGUGGCGAAGGCGGCCCCCUGGACGAAGACUGACGCUCAGGUGCGAAAGCGUGGGGAGCAAACAGGAUUAGAUACCCUGGUAGUCCACGCCGUAAACGAUGUCGACUUGGAGGUUGUGCCCUUGAGGCGUGGCUUCCGGAGCUAACGCGUUAAGUCGACCGCCUGGGGAGUACGGCCGCAAGGUUAAAACUCAAAUGAAUUGACGGGGGCCCGCACAAGCGGUGGAGCAUGUGGUUUAAUUCGAUGCAACGCGAAGAACCUUACCUGGUCUUGACAUCCACGGAAGUUUUCAGAGAUGAGAAUGUGCCUUCGGGAACCGUGAGACAGGUGCUGCAUGGCUGUCGUCAGCUCGUGUUGUGAAAUGUUGGGUUAAGUCCCGCAACGAGCGCAACCCUUAUCCUUUGUUGCCAGCGGUCCGGCCGGGAACUCAAAGGAGACUGCCAGUGAUAAACUGGAGGAAGGUGGGGAUGACGUCAAGUCAUCAUGGCCCUUACGACCAGGGCUACACACGUGCUACAAUGGCGCAUACAAAGAGAAGCGACCUCGCGAGAGCAAGCGGACCUCAUAAAGUGCGUCGUAGUCCGGAUUGGAGUCUGCAACUCGACUCCAUGAAGUCGGAAUCGCUAGUAAUCGUGGAUCAGAAUGCCACGGUGAAUACGUUCCCGGCCUUGUACACACCGCCCGUCACACCAUGGGAGUGGGUUGCAAAAGAAGUAGGUAGCUUAACCUUCGGGAGGGCGCUUACCACUUUGUGAUUCAUGACUGGGGUGAAGUCGUAACAAGGUAACCGUAGGGGAACCUGCGGUUGGAUCACCUCCUUA